rnacentral:rRNA from 1 species
UGGGGAAUAUUGCGCAAUGGGCGGAAGCCUGACGCAGCGACGCCGCGUGGGGGAUGAAGGCCUUCGGGUUGUAAACCCCUUUCAGCAGGGACGAAGCGGAAGUGACGGUACCUGCAGAAGAAGCGCCGGCUAACUACGUGCCAGCAGCCGCGGUAACACGUAGGGCGCAAGCGUUGUCCGGAAUUAUUGGGCGUAAAGAGCUCGUAGGUGGUCUGUUGCGUCCGCUGUGAAAACUCAGGGCUUAACCCUGAGCCUGCAGUGGAUACGGGCAGACUAGAGGUAGGUAGGGGAGAAUGGAAUUCCUGGUGUAGCGGUGAAAUGCGCAGAUAUCAGGAGGAACACCGGUGGCGAAGGCGGUUCUCUGGGCCUUACCUGACACUGAGGAGCGAAAGCGUGGGGAGCGAACA